rnacentral:rRNA from 1 species
AUUGAACGCUGGCGGCAGGCCUAACACAUGCAAGUCGGACGGUAGCACAGAGGAGCUUGCUCCUCGGGUGACGAGUGGCGGACGGGUGAGUAAUGUCUGGGGAUCUGCCCGAUAGAGGGGGAUAACCACUGGAAACGGUGGCUAAUACCGCAUAACGUCGCAAGACCAAAGAGGGGGACCUUCGGGCCUCUCACUACCGGAUGAACCCAGAUGGGAUUAGCUAGUAGGCGGGGUAACGGCCCACCUAGGCGACGAUCCCUAGCUGGUCUGAGAGGAUGACCAGCCACACUGGAACUGAGACACGGUCCAGACUCCUACGGGAGGCAGCAGUGGGGAAUAUUGCACAAUGGGCGCAAGCCUGAUGCAGCCAUGCCGCGUGUAUGAAGAAGGCCUUCGGGUUGUAAAGUACUUUCAGCGGGGAGGAAGGCGAUGUGGUUAAUAACCGCGUCGAUUGACGUUACCUGCAGAAGAAGCACCGGCUAACUCCGUGCCAGCCGCCGCCGUAA